rnacentral:rRNA from 1 species
GACGAACGCUGGCGGCGUGCUUAACACAUGCAAGUCGAACGGAAAGGCCCUGCUCUUGUGGCGUGGUCGAUAGGCGAACGGGUGAGUAACACGUGAGUAACCUGCCCCUAUCAUUGGGGUAUCUCUAGGAAACUGCGGCUAUAACCGGAUAGGAGCUCCUGCUGCACGUGGGGCGUUGGAAAGUUUCGGCGGUGGUGGCUGGACUCGCUGCUUAUCAGCUUGUUUGUGGGGUUGUGGCUGUCCAAGGUUGUGACGGGUAGCCUGCCUGAGAGGGUGACCGGCCACAUGGGGACUGAGAUACGCCGCAGAAGCCUACGGGCGGCAGUAGUGGGGAACAUUGCACAAUGGGCCGAAGCGUGUGGCAGCAACGUCGCGUGCGGGAUGACGGCUUUUGAGUUGUAAACCGAUUUCGCCGGUGACGAAGCGUGAGUGACGGUAAUGGAUAAAGAAGCACCGGCUAACUACGUG